rnacentral:lncRNA from 1 species
UGGGCCCAAAAAUAAAAACAAAUUCCAGAAUCUUCGUCACAUGUAUAAAUAAAUAAACCUUGUCUCGUGUUUAUUUAUACAUUGAAAUUGAAAACUAACAUCACUCUGACUCUGAGACCUCUUUUGAAUCCCUAACAAACUCAUCAACAAUGGCGAUUAUCUCCGAUUUUCAAGACGAUGAACAAACCAAGAAACAAACUCCUCCAUCAUCAUCAUCAUCAUCAUCAUCUUCUCAACCAAAACCCUCCAAAUCCAUUCCAUUCACUUCCACCUUCG